AAACACUUCUUAGCCACUUGUGUAAAUGCUGCCUUGCUUGGCAGGGAGCAAAGAGAGGUAGCUUUGAAUAAAGGCUAUUGACAAAUCAAUCCUGUUUGAACUAGAUUUAUGCCCUGUUUAUGCAUCCCAGGAUCGCAUUAAUCCUUUUGGCCAUAGUGUCACAUUGGGAGCGCAUGUUCAGCUGAUUAUCCACCAUGGCUCCCAAAUCUUCUGCAGUCACUACUUCCCAGGACAGAGUCCACCAUCCUGUCAUAAUACGUAACAUGGAAGAAAAUGAUCUCAAAUGAUUAUCAGUGACUCGGAAACAGCUGCAGGUUUCCUGGCUGCAUGACACAGUCAAUGGCUGAUGCAUCGUCUACCAAGUCCAGCUGUCCUGCCAUUAGCUGAACAAAAAGCAUGCGUGUGCUACCUCUUGGUAGAUUCCAUAGUGCUGUUGCUCUAGCUCCAUUGCUAAAAUAAAGGUAUAAUAUGGGUAACACUACUAAUAAUCUGCAUUCACAUUAAGGUGCUUCUUCAGUUAAAAUCACAGCUUUUCUCACAAUGAAAAUACAAAAAGAGCGUAUACAAUCACUGGGGAUUUUUAAACACAAAGGUUGAGAUUUUCAAAGCAGUCUAGACUAGAGGAUUUAGAUGCAUCUUCCAUUACAGUGGAAAAUAAUGGGAGCUGUAUGUCCAAAACCCCUAGACUGCUCUGAAAAUCUCAACUUAAUUCCUCAUUUAGUCUAUUCAAUAUCUUUGCUUCUAAGGAAGAUCUUUGUUAUAUUACUGGUAAAUUCAUCUGCCCAGAAGUCCACAAAUCACAUGGACCCUAUGAAAUGCUGCUGCUUUUUUAGGAAAGAUCUGCUAUUUAAACUGAGUGUGCUUGUUCCCAGCUGUAAAUAUGUGCCCACCAAUUUAUACUGUCAAUGGACAGUCAUUUAGGUGACAUAAAUUGGUUUCAUGUCAUUUCACAUCAGACAAUAUGGCAACAUAAAGUGCUAGAAUGCCAGCUGCUCUCUGGAGGUAUAAAGAAAAUGCAUAUCCCAUCCUUUUAUUUUUUCUAUGUCAAAAUACAAGUUACACAGACAACCUCGAUGUAUUAUUUGCUUUUUUUUGCUCCCAUAUUUCAGGGCAAUGUUGUUAGAUUUUUGUUUCCUGUUUGCCUUUAACAGAAUAUAGGAAACUACUUGCUGAUUGAAGCAUGCAUUUGACUGCAUUUCUGUUAUUAGACUGUCAGAGAGUUUAAUUAGCUAAUCAAGC